rnacentral:rRNA from 1 species
UGAGGAAUAUUGGUCAAUGGGCGGAAGCCUGAACCAGCCAAGUAGCGUGAGGGAUGACUGCCCUAUGGGUUGUAAACCUCUUUUAUAAGGGAAUAAAAUACGGGACGUGUCCUGUUUUGCAUGUACCUUAUGAAUAAGGACCGGCUAAUUCCGUGCCAGCAGCCGCGGUAAUACGGAAGGUCCGGGCGUUAUCCGGAUUUAUUGGGUUUAAAGGGAGCGUAGGCUGGAGAUUAAGCGUGUUGUGAAAUGCCGCGGCUCAACCGUGGCACUGCAGCGCGAACUGGUUUCCUUGAGUGCGCUGAAAGUGGGCGGAAUUUGUGGUGUAGCGGUGAAAUGCUUAGAUAUCACGAAGAACUCCGAUUGCGAAGGCAGCUCACUGUAUCGCGACUGACGCUGAAGCUCGAAAGUGCGGGUAUCGAACAGGAUUAGAUACCCUGGUAGU